rnacentral:rRNA from 1 species
GACGAACGCUGGCGGCGUGCUUAACACAUGCAAGUCGAACGGUAAGGCCCUUCGGGGUACACGAGUGGCGAACGGGUGAGUAACACGUGGGUGAUCUGCCCUGCACUUCGGGAUAAGCCUGGCAAACUGGGUCUAAUACCGGAUAGGACCACUGCCUGCAUGGGUGGUGGUGGAAAGCUUUUGCGGUGUGGGAUGGGCCCGCGGCCUAUCAGCUUGUGGGUGGGGUGAUGGGCUACCAAGGCGACGACGGGUAGCCGGCCUGAGAGGGUGACCGGCCACACUGGGACUGAGAUACGGCCCAGACUCCUACGGGAGGCAGCAGUGGGGAAUAUUGCACAAUGGGCGCAAGUCUGAUGCAGCGACGCCGCGUGAGGGAUGACGGCCUUCGGGUUGUAAACCUCUUUCAGCACCGACGAAGCGCAAGUGACGGUAGGUGCAGAAGAAGGACCGGCCAACUACGUGCCAGCCGCCGCAGUAA